GACGAACGCUGGCGGCGUGCUUAACACAUGCAAGUCGAACGGAAAGGCCCUGCUUGCAGGGUACUCGAGUGGCGAACGGGUGAGUAACACGCGGGUGAUCGGCCUUGCACUUCGGGACAAGCCUGGGAAACGGGGUCGAAUACCGGAGAGGAGCCAUUUUGAGGGAGAUGGGUGGAAAGUUUUGUCGGUGUAGGAUGAGCUCGCGGCCGAUCAGCGUGUUGGUGGGGUAAUGGCCUAGCAAGGCGGCGACGGGUAGCCGGCCUGGGUGGGUGGACGGGCACAUUGAGACUGGGACUCGGCCCAGGCUCCUACGGGUGGCAGAGGUGGCGAUUGUGACUCUAUGAGCGCGGGCGUGAGGCUGCGACGCCGCGGCCGGGAUGACGGUGUUCGCGUUAGGAUCGCAAAUCGCUUGUGACGAGGCUUUUUGUGACGGUACCUAGAGAAGAAGCCCCGGCUAACUACGUG
rnacentral:rRNA from 1 species